GUUUCCCAAACUCUGUCCUGUGUGUACAUUUUGGGCUGAUUAAAAUCACCAACUCAUAAUUACGCUUUGAUUAUUUGAAUCAGCUGUGUAGCGUUAGAGAGCAACAACCAAAACGUGCACCCGGGACCAGAGUUUGGGCAACCCCCAGACGAGGUGAACCAUCCGUCAUGCAAAGAGGUCUGGUGGAGAUGACGUAGACCCCCACACAGUCGGCUGACUCUCCGCGGUAGAUGGCUGUCAGUUGGGGCUAGCCAGCUAACUCACCGUUGACAACGAUAACAUUCAGACUAUAUUCACAAGAAAGAAAUCUCAAUACCAAAAUGGAAAAACAGUUUGAGGAAAUAGAUUCGUCUGGGCAGUGGCAGAACCUUUAUAAUGAAAUCCGAAACCAAGCCAGCGACUAUUCAUAUAAGGUGGCAAAACUUCCGGAGAAUCAGAAUCGAAACCGAUAUAGAGAUGUCAGCCCCUAUGAUCACAGUCGUGUUAAACUUGAAAACUCUGAAAAUGACUACAUCAAUGCAAGUCUAGUCGUGGUGGAGGAAGCCCAAAGAACCUAUAUUCUGUCUCAGGUCAGUACAUCAAUGCAAGUCUAGUCGUGGUGGAGGAAGCCCAAAGAACCUAUAUUCUGUCUCAGGUCAGUACAUACAAGUAGUCUAGUCGUGGUGGAGGAAGCCCAAAGAACCUAUAUUCUGUCUCAGGUCAGUACAUCAAUGCAAGUCUAGUCGUGGUGGAGGAAGCCCAAAGAACCUAUAUUCUGUCUCAGGUCAGUACAUCAAUGCAAGUCUAGUCGUGGUGGAGGAAGCCCAAAGAACCUAUAUUCUGUCUCAGGGCCCCUUGAAGAACACCUGCGGUCACUUCUGGUUGAUGGUCUGGGAGCAGAACUCCAAAGCUGUUAUAAUGCUGAACAGAAUCAUAGAGAAGGGGUCUGUAAGUAGCCUACAUACCUGUUAUAAUGCUGAACAGAAUCACAGAGAAGGGGUCUGUAAGUAGCCUACAUACCUGUUAUAAUGCUGAACAGAAUCCUAGAGAAGGGGACUGACUGUAAGUAGCCUACAUACCUGUUAUAAUGCUGAACAGAAUCCUAGAGAAGGGGUCUGUAAGUAGCCUACAUACCUGUUAUAAUGCUGAACAGAAUCCUAGAGAAGGGGUCUGUAAGUAGCCUACAUACCUGUUAUAAUGCUGAACAGAAUCACAGAGAAGGGGUCUGUAAGUAGCCUACAUACCUGUUAUAAUGCUGAACAGAAUCCCAGAGAAGGGGUCUGUAAGUAGCCUACAUACCUGUUAUAAUGCUGAACAGAAUCCUAGAGAAGGGGUCUGUAAGUAGCCUACAUACCUGUUAUAAUGCUGAACAGAAUCCCAGAGAAGGGG